rnacentral:rRNA from 1 species
UACAGAGGGUGCGAGCGUUGUCCGGAAUCACUGGGCGUAAAGGGCGCGUAGGCGGCUUGAUAAGCGUGCGGUGAAAGCCCCGGGGGCUCAACCCCCGGGUCGGCCGUGCGAACUGUCGAGCUGGAGCACUGUAGAGGCAGGUGGAAUUCCGGGUGUAGCGGUGGAAUGCGUAGAGAUCCGGAAGAACACCGGUGGCGAAGGCGGCCUGCUGGGCAGUGGCUGACGCUGAGGCGCGACAGCGUGGGGAGGCAAACAGGAU